UACGUAGGGAGCGAGCGUUGUCCGGAAUUACUGGGCGUAAAGGGCGUGUAGGCGGCAUGGCAAGUCAGAUGUGAAAUCCCCGGGCUUAACUCGGGUGGUGCAUUUGAAACUGCUGUGCUUGAGUGCAGGAGAGGAAAGCGGAAUUCCUAGUGUAGCGGUGAAAUGCGUAGAUAUUAGGAGGAACACCAGUGGCGAAGGCGGCUUUCUGGACUGUAACUGACGCUGAGGCACGAAAGCGUGGGGAGCAAACAGG
rnacentral:rRNA from 1 species